GAGUACCGGCUAGGGAGAGUGAGAAGAGAGAGCUGUGGCGUGCGGAUCACGUUUCAAAUCACUUCUGGGCUGUGGAAUUUCCUCUCUUGGGGAGGGGGGCCGCGAAGAUGCAGUUGCUUUAAGUGCACCGCUGACUCCUGGCCGCCUGUCUCUCCUAUGGCCUGGCAUCUUCACAGAUGCAGAUUUUGAAAAUGCAUUUCUCCUUUAUCUGAGAGCCCCUCCUGCCCCCUCCUCCAGGACCGACACACUAUGCGUGGAACCUGUGAUGCUAGGCCAUCCUUCCUAUGGUUUGACAUAUUGUCUCACCAGUAAAGGGUAGAGCUGGAACCCACCAUGAAAUCCUGGCCCAGCAAAAUACGUGCCCUAGAGAAGAAGGACCACAAACUCAAGGUCACCUGGGGCUACAUACUUAAGAUCCAGUCUCAAAACUCCAAAUCAAACAAAAAUUGCGCUAAUAAUAAAUUGUAGGAAGUAAGAAGAUGACACCAGGUAGCAGGUCUCAGGCAGCCUCUUUCUGGCUUUAGACUCAUGAUGGCUUAGAGUAGUUUUGAACUCCCAGUAUCAUCUUCUAAAUGUGCAUCUCGACAAAAAAAAAAGGAAUGACUUCGCCGGGCGUGGUGGCGCACACCUUUAAUCCCAGCACUCGGGAGGCAGAGGCAGGCGGAUUUCUGAAUUCGAGGCUAGCCUGGUCUACAAAGUGAGCUCCAGGACAGCCAGGGCUAUACAGAGAAACCCUGUCUCGAGAAAAAAAAAAAAAAAAAAGGAAUGAUUUCUCUGAGAUAGGGCCACAUGUAGCCCAGGCAACCCUCAAACUGUGAAGUCACAGAUUAUCUGAUCCUCCUGCCUCCACCUCCCAGUGUAAUUAAAAGUACAGCUAGCCUGGUGGCACGCCAUGCCUGACAUAGAGAGAGCAUGCAUCCAACUAAGGGCUUCAUUCUUACUAAGGCAAGCAUUCUGCCUACUGAGCUACAUACAUCCCCGGUGCAGAGAGGAAUAUUUAUUAAGCCUUCAUCCCUUCCAUAAUUGGACAAUGUAUUGUCUUGAUGUUCUGAUGGGCAGGAAGUUAUUUAGGCAGUAUAUAAACUGUCAUACUACACAGGGCAAAAAUAUUGCUUGUUUUCAAAAAAACAUUAGAAUACAGUAAAAUGCACCUGUCAUGGA
rnacentral:lncRNA from 1 species